CGGCGGACGGGUGAGUAACACGUGGGUAACCUACCUAUAAGACUGGGACAACUUCGGGAAACCGGAGCUAAUACCGGAUAAGAUAUCUAACCGCAUGGUUCGAUAGUGAAAGAUGGUUUUGCUAUCACUUAUAGAUGGACCCGCGCCGUAUUAGCUAGUUGGUGAGGUAACGGCUCACCAAGGCAACGAUACGUAGCCGACCUGAGAGGGUGAUCGGCCACACUGGAACUGAGACACGGUCCAGACUCCUACGGGAGGCAGCAGCG
rnacentral:rRNA from 1 species